rnacentral:rRNA from 10 species
ACUUCACGGCCAUACCCCCCUGAACAUGCCCGACCUGGUCUGAUCUCGGAAGCUAAGCAGGGUCGGGUCUGGUUAGUACUUAGACCGCCUGGUAACCCCAGGUGCUGUAAGUG